CCUACGGGAGGCUGCAGUGAGGAAUAUUGGUCAAUGGGCGGGAGCCUGAACCAGCCAAGUCGCGUGAAGGAAUAAGGUACUUAGUAUUGUAAACUUCUUUUGUCGGGGAACAAAGGCGGAGACGCGUACCCGGAUGAGUGUACCCGAAGAAAAAGCAUCGGCUAACUCCGUGCCAGCAGCCGCGGUAAGACGGAGGAGGAGAGCGUGAUCCGGAUUUAUUGGGUUAAAGGGGUGCGUAGGCGGGAUGACAAGUCAGCGGUAAAAAUGCGGUGCUCAACGCCGUCGAGCCGUUGAAACUGGCGUUCUUGAGUGGGCGAGAGGUAUGCGGAAUGCGUGGUGUAGCGGUGAAAUGCAUAGAUAUCACGCAGAACUCCGAUGGCGAAGGCAGCAUACCGGCGCCCUACUGACGCUGAGGCACGAAAGCGUGGGUAUCGAACAGGAUUAGAUACCCCAGUAGUC
rnacentral:rRNA from 1 species